AUUGAACGCUGGCGGCAUGCCUUACACAUGCAAGUCGAACGGUAACAGGUCUUCGGAUGCUGACGAGUGGCGAACGGGUGAGUAAUACAUCGGAACGUGCCCGAUCGUGGGGGAUAACGAGGCGAAAGCUUUGCUAAUACCGCAUACGAUCUACGGAUGAAAGCGGGGGAUCUUCGGACCUCGCGCGGACGGAGCGGCCGAUGGCAGAUUAGGUAGUUGGUGGGAUAAAAGCUUACCAAGCCGACGAUCUGUAGCUGGUCUGAGAGGAUGAUCAGCCACACUGGGACUGAGACACGGCCCAGACUCCUACGGGAGGCAGCAGUGGGGAAUUUUGGACAAUGGGCGAAAGCCUGAUCCAGCCAUGCCGCGUGCAGGAUGAAGGCCUUCGGGUUGUAAACUGCUUUUGUGCGGAACGAAAAGCCUCUUUCUAAUAAAGAGGGGUCAUGACGGUACCGUAAGAAUAAGCACCGGCUAACUACGUG
rnacentral:rRNA from 1 species